rnacentral:rRNA from 1 species
GGGGAAUAUUGGACAAUGGGCGCAAGCCUGAUCCAGCCAUGCCGCGUGAGUGAUGAAGGCCUUAGGGUUGUAAAGCUCUUUCACCGGUGAAGAUAAUGACGGUAGCCGGAGAAGAAGCCCCGGCUAACUUCGUGCCAGCAGCCGCGGUAAUACGAAGGGGGCUAGCGUUGUUCGGAAUUACUGGGCGUAAAGCGCACGUAGGCGGACUGGUCAGUUAGGGGUGAAAUCCCAGGGCUUAACCCUGGAACUGCCUUUAAUACUGCCGGUCUGGAGUUCGAGAGAGGUGAGUGGAAUUCCGAGUGUAGAGGUGAAAUUCGUAGAUAUUCGGAGGAACACCAGUGGCGAAGGCGGCUCACUGGCUCGAUACUGACGCUGAGGUGCGAAAGCGUGGGGAGCAAAC